UCUCCCGUGAGGGAGCAGUCUCGCCUGACACAUGUAACAGGCAACGAGGGUUGCGUUCGUUUCCCCACUUAAGGGAACAGCUCAAGCCACGAACUGACGACGGCCAUGCAUCACCUGCCAUACACUCUCGAAGACUUCCUAGGUUUCCCUAGGCGUGCAGUAUGGUUUCUAGCCUUGGUAAGGUUAUCGCUUAGCGACGAAUUAAGCCACGCGCUCCACCGCUUGUGCGAGCCCCCGUCUAUUCCUUUGAGUUUUAAGCUUGCGCUCGUACUACCCAGGCGGUCCGCUUAACGCGUUAGCUUCGCCACAGAGAGGGUCGAUACUCCCUAUAGCUAGCGGACAUCGUUUAGGGCGUGGACUA
rnacentral:misc_RNA from 1 species